rnacentral:pre_miRNA from 2 species
GUGUGCCUGGCUCCCUGUAUGCCAUUUGUAGAGUCCAUCACGACAGUGAUGAACUUAGUGAAUGGCGUACUCGGAGUCAUGCAUGC